rnacentral:rRNA from 1 species
GGACCCGCACAAGCGGUGGAGCAUGUGGCUUAAUUCGAGGCAACGCGAAGAACCUUACCUGGGCUUGAAAUCAUAUUGACGGUUUAUGAAAGUAAAUUUUCCGCAAGGACAGUAUGACAGGUGCUGCAUGGCUGUCGUCAGCUCGUGCCGUGAGGUGUUCGGUUAAGUCCGGCAACGAGCGCAACCCGUGUCAAUAGUUACCAUCAGGUAAUGCUGGGGACUCUAUUGAGACUGCCUGUGUUAAGCAGGAGGAAGGCGCGGAUGACGUCAAGUCAGUAUGGCCCUUACGUCCAGGGCUGCACACGUGCUACAAUGGCUGGCACAAUGAGACGCGAUGCCGCGAGGCGGAGCAAAUCUACAAAACCCAGUCUUAGUUCGGAUUGUAGUCUGCAACUCGACUACAUGAAGCCGGAAUCGCUAGUAAAGGCGUAUCAGCUACGACG